rnacentral:rRNA from 1 species
AACGAACGCUGGCGGCAGGCCUAACACAUGCAAGUCGAACGCUGUAGCAAUACAGAGUGGCAGACGGGUGCGUAACGCGUGGGAACAUACCCUUUGGUUCGGAAUAACUCAGGGAAACUUGAGCUAAUACCGGAUAAGCCCUUACGGGGAAAGAUUUAUCGCCAAUGGAUUGGCCCGCGUCUGAUUAGCUAGUUGGUGAGGUAAUGGCUCACCAAGGCGACGAUCAGUAGCUGGUCUGAGAGGAUGACCAGCCACACUGGGACUGAGACACGGCCCAGACUCCUACGGGAGGCAGCAGUGGGGAAUAUUGGACAAUGGGCGAAAGCCUGAUCCAGCCAUGCCGCGUGAGUGAUGAAGGCCUUAGGGUUGUAAAGCUCUUUUACUCGGGGAAGAUAAUGACUGUACCGAGAGAAUAAGCCCCCGG